ensembl:snRNA LOC120095785 U1 spliceosomal RNA
ACACUUCUGGCAGGGAAUAUACCAGGAUCAGGAAGGUGGCUUUCCUAGGGCAAGGCUCUCCCAUUGCACAUGGGAUGUGGUGAUCCCUGUGGUUUUAUUGCAGGAUAUUUGAUCACAUCUCGAACCCCAAGGUUGUGUUAUUUACUGAAAAGCCCUGUUUCUGGUUGUGGUGUGGCUCA